rnacentral:misc_RNA from 1 species
AAGUCGUAACAAGGUCUCCGUAGGUGAACCUGCGGAGGGAUCAUCAAAGAAUUUACACACAAAAACCUCAAGUGCUUGAGGAGUUUCGAGGGCAGCCUUUUCUUGAUUAAAAAGAUCUCUCUUUUUUUUCGAGGAGAGAGGCUGGCGUUGGGAUUCCUUGGGUGCUUCAAACAAACGAUCGCAACUAAUGAAAGAAAAGCAAAAAUGGAAUGGGGGGGGGUGGAAAAAAGUGUUUGCCUGAUAAUUUGAUUGGGAAAUAUAUAAACAUACAACUUUCAACAACGGAUCUCUUGGCUCUCA